rnacentral:rRNA from 1 species
UACGAAGGGGGCUAGCGUUGUUCGGAAUUACUGGGCGUAAAGCGUAUGCAGGCGGAUCGUUAAGUCGGGGGUGAAAUCCCGAGGCUCAACCUCGGAACUGCCUUCGAUACUGGCGACCUUCGAGUCCGGGAGAGGUGAGUGGAACUCCGAGUGUAGAGGUGAAAUUCGUAGAUAUUCGGAAGAACACCAGUGGCGAAGGCGGCGAUCUGGGAAGAUACUGACGCUGAGGUGCGAAAGCGUGGGGAGCAAACAGG